GAGAGCUACUGUCCUCUGAAUGCAAUCUUUUGUGCCACAGGAGCCAGAUGGGGCAAGGCAAAGUAGAGCCUGAGAUCACAGUGAUCAUUUGAUGCAUAAUAAAGACUCAUCCUGGAAGAAAGCUCAGCUAAUUUCUCAAAAACACAAGGAACCAGGUGAAAGAGGAGCAAAGCUCUGAAGAAGUGAAAUCCUUAAUCAAUGCAGUAUUUUCAAAGGAGAGUUGUAACACAGAAGGAACUGGAAAUUUGCCAACAAAGGAGGCAUCUGAAAGAGAAGAUAAAUAUUUAGCCAUUGAGAUCUGUUAAAGUACAAAACAUCAUCUAUUAUUCAGAUUCAAAAUUAUGUUAUUUAAAUAUUGUCACAGCUGUCAUACAAACAGGACUAUGAAAGCAAAUUACAAGUACAGGGCUAUGACAAGAGGAAAAUUAUUCCUGGUCAGAAACAGGAUCUCUUUACUCUGAUGAGGUCAAAAGCAGUUUAGCUGAAGAGGGAACAGAAUCAUUUUCAGCACUGUUAGAAAAAGCACAUGGACAAGGAGUUGGUUCAACAUAAUGUCAGGAUUUCUUUGCCAGCUCUGGAAAGUGUUUUGCCUUGUCUUGAAGAACUAUUUCAUUUCCUCCCAAAAUGCAAGAGCUUCAGAAACCGUCAAGCAUCUUAAGAAGGUACACAAAACUUAAAGCUGACACUCAAGUACCAAGAGAACUGUACGCAACAGCAAGGGCAACUGGAAGUCAUGUAGAGUGCCUCUCAGUCUAUAAUUGCCAAAGGAGUGCUGCCACUGAACAGAUACAUUAUUGGAGCAAGGAGGAGCCCAGGGAGAGGCGAAGAGAGCAAGAAAAAUCUGACAAGCAGAGGAACAACGAGAACAGACAAGGAGAAAAACCUGUCAGUGGAAACCUAAUCCAACUCCAAGGAAUAUACAGCACUGCUCAAAGCAGAAUCUACAUGAUGACAAGGUCAUUUUCAUCUCAUCAGCUAUGAAGCGCAGCCUGGCACCUUCCUCCCCCAUCUCUUUCCCCACAGAGAUACAGAAGGAGAGAAUGAGUUGAAUGACAGGUGAUCAAGGUGCUGCGCUGAGUAAACAGCUGCUGGCAAUGCAAGGUUUAAAGAGCUGACAGGGUAUCUAGGAAACUUCACGGAAACAACAAAUUCUCUUCCUCACGGCCACACCCCAGUGCAAUCUUUACAAAAUAGAGUUUAGCUGGUCUUGUGUAGACUCCAAAUACCUUCCAGGAACACAGCUGGCAUUUCCAAAGGGGGUCAAGAUCACAAACUACAUGCGUCCUCAGCAAACGACCAGGAGCUGGAGGGCCAGAUGGACUGCUGAAGUAUGUGGACACACAAGGCACCUUGGGAGCCCCCAGUCUGUCUUCUGACCAUCAUUCAAAACACCUUUGAUUUUGCCAUAACUUGUCCCAACUGCUACUGCUCAUUUAUCAGUUAUUUCCAAUUUCAAUCCACUUCUGAAAGGAGUCAUUUCUUCAUUAUAGGUGCUUUUAUUAAUCCUUCUGACCUUUUGCAUUGCUCCCUAAAGGAGCGUUGGCAGUGUAGGACUCAUUGCAGUGUAACUGGACCCAUGAAAUAUCCUUCUAUGUAGAGAUGAUUAUUCUCUAGAACAGUGACAUGGCUUCAGAAUGACAGAGUAUAGGUGAAGCAGAACAGAUUGGAGAAACGUAAAGUACUGUGUAAGUGUAGGAUAGGACUUUGCUCAUGGUAAAUUUAAAAAUAUUGGUUUGAAAAAGGGAGAUACAAUGAUCAUACAUACCUAGGAAGAUCUUAUCCCUAAAUGGGUCUGUGUCAUCUUCACUGAAUUCAUCCUGCUACUAGGGAAGGGAAUUAGCUUUUAUUAUUGAGUUUACUGUUUGUCUCCCUCAUUCAGUAUUGCACUGAUCUUUUAAGUUACCGGAUGUGCUCAUAUGUCUGCCUUGUUCAAGAGAAGUUGCUAUUAAAAACCAAUGGACAGCCCAUUUUGUUCCAAGUCCUCCUAUUAGGUGUGUUUCAGUCACUAGUGGUAAAGUAACACUGUUGGGAUUGCCCAGUCCUAGUGACAAGGACGUGU
rnacentral:lncRNA from 1 species